rnacentral:rRNA from 1 species
UGAAUGGCAAGACGAAAGUUCAACUGUCUCCCUAAAUUAAUCAAUGAAAUUGAUUUUUCCGUGCAGAAGCGGAAAUAUAAUUAUAAGACGAGAAGACCCUAUGGAGCUUUAAACAUAUGAUCAUUGCGUAACAUAACCCAAAAUGAAAUAUUUAAUAAAACAUCAUGAUCAAAAUUUUAGGUUGGGGCGACCACGGAGAAAAACAAAACCUCCGAGAUGAAGAGAAUAUCUUAAUUCAAGAAUCACAAUUCUAAAAAAUAAAAUAUUUAACAUAAUUGAUCCAAUAUAUUGAUCAACGAACCAAGUUACCCUAGGGAUAACAGCGCAAUCCUCUCCAAGAGUCCCUAUCGACGAGCGGGUUUACGACCUCGAUGUUGGAUCAGGACACCCCAAUGGUGCAGCCGCUAUUAAAGGUUCGUUUGUUCAACGAUUAAAGUCCUACGUGAUC